rnacentral:rRNA from 1 species
GAUGAACGCUGGCGGCGUGCCUAAUACAUGCAAGUCGAGCGAACAGACGAGGAGCUUGCUCCUCUGACGUUAGCGGCGGACGGGUGAGUAACACGUGGAUAACCUACCUAUAAGACUGGGAUAACUUCGGGAAACCGGAGCUAAUACCGGAUAAUAUAUUGAACCGCAUGGUUCAAUAGUGAAAGACGGUUUUGCUGUCACUUAUAGAUGGAUCCGCGCCGCAUUAGCUAGUUGGUAAGGUAACGGCUUACCAAGGCGACGAUGCGUAGCCGACCUGAGAGGGUGAUCGGCCACACUGGAACUGAGACACGGUCCAGACUCCUACGGGAGGCAGCAGUAGGGAAUCUUCCGCAAUGGGCGAAAGCCUGACGGAGCAACGCCGCGUGAGUGAUGAAGGUCUUCGGAUCGUAAAACUCUGUUAUUAGGGAAGAACAAAUGUGUAAGUAACCGUGCACGUCUUGACGGUACCUAAUCAGAAAGCCACGGCUAACUACGUG